GACGAACGCUGGCGGCGUGCUUAAUACAUGCAAGUCGAACGGAAAGGCCCGGCGUUUGUGGGGUGCUCGAUUGGCGAACACGGGAGUAACACGUGAGUAACCUGCCCUUGUCUUUGGGAUAACUUCAGGGAACUCGGGCGAAUACCGGAUAGGAGCUCCUGCUCCAUGGGGGGGGUUGGAAAGUUUCGGCGGUUGGGGAUGGACUCGCGGGUUAUCAGCUGGUUGGUGAGGUAGUGGCUUACCAAGGCUUUGACGGGUAGCCGGCCUGAGAGGGUGACCGGCCACCUUGGGACUGAGAUACGGACCAGAAUCCUACGGGAGGCAGCAGUGGGGAAUAUUGCACAAUGGGCGGAAGCCUGAUGCAGCAACGCCGCGUGCGGGAUGACGGCCUUCGGGUUGUAAACCGCUUUCGACUGUGACGAAGCGUGAGUGACGGUAAUGGGUAAAGAAGCACCGGCUAACUACGUG
rnacentral:rRNA from 1 species